rnacentral:lncRNA from 1 species
CCCUCCCUCUACCCCCACUUCCCCACCUCAGCCUGAAGUUAUUAGUUUAGGUUCAUUUAGGAUGAGCUUAGCAACCCCACACCCCUGGAACCUGGAAGCUUAGAGCACAAGCUGUCUGGCAAAUGGAAAUUCAAUUGCUUUAAUAUACAGACUAUUUUGCUGCAGCCGAACUCGAGCCUCUUAUUAAGAAUCUGAUGGAAUUUCUAAACAGGGAGAGAGGCCCCGAGGAGGGGGCAUCGCCCAGCACACACCAACAUUGCUCUUGACAUAUUUAUGGCUCCAAUAAAAUCUCCCAUCUGGUAUAUUUUAAAAUAAAAUUGAAAAUUUA